rnacentral:rRNA from 1 species
AGGGAGGAAGGUAGUGUAGUUAACACCUGCAUUAUUUGACGUUACCUACAGAAGAAGCACCGGCUAACUCCGUGCCAGCAGCCGCGGUAAUACGGAGGGUGCGAGCGUUAAUCGGAAUUACUGGGCGUAAAGCGCAUGCAGGCGGCCUGUUAAGUCAGAUGUGAAAGCCCCGGGGCUUAACCUCGGAAUUGCAUUUGAAACUGGCAGACUAGAGUACUGUAGAGGGGGUAGAAUUUCAGGUGUAGCGGUGAAAUGCGUAGAGAUCUGAAGGAAUACCGGUGGCGAAGGCGGCCCCCUGGACAGAUACUGACACUCAGAUGCGAAAGCGUGGGGAGCAAACAGGAUUAGAUACCCUGGUAG